CCGAGUGAGGGCCCUCUGGGUCCAACCUCCCACCCGUGUUUAUCGUACCUUGUUGCUUCGGCGGGCCCGCCUCACGGCCGCCGGGGGGCUUCUGCCCUCUGGCCCGCGCCCGCCGAAGACACCAUUGAACGCUGUCUGAAGAUUGCAGUCUGAGCAAUUAGCUAAAUAAGUUA
rnacentral:misc_RNA from 1 species